CACUUUAAGAAAUCAUUUAAAGUACCUCCUGCUCAAUGACCCGUUAAAUAGCCGCAGUUUUCCUGUGCUAAGGUAGCAUAAUAAACAGCCUGCUAAUUACAGGAUAGAAUGAAUGGAAAAACAAAUUUUUAUCUAUAUAUUAUUCAAAAUAAAAAACCUAAACUAAAAGUAAAAAUUCUUCUACUUUCAGAAAGACGAUCAGACCCUAUAGAACUUAACUCCUACGUUUUGCUGGGGCGGCUAAUAACAAUCUCUUACCCAAUUUCUAUUCACACCUCUAUUUAUAUACCUCAAGUUACCUUAGGGAUAACAGCACAAUUUGUACUUAAAGCUCUUAUCCAAAUACAAGAUUAUGACCUCGAUGUUGAAUUAAAAUCCCUAAUAAAAGCAAAAAAUUAUUAAGUAAGUCUGUUCGACUUUUAAAAUUUUACAUG
rnacentral:rRNA from 1 species